rnacentral:misc_RNA from 1 species
UCCGAGUUGACCCCGGCAGUCUCCCGUGAGUCCCCACCACCCCAAAAGGGCGUGCUGGCAACACAGGAUAAGGGUUGCGCUCGUUGCGGGACUUAACCCAACAUCUCACGACACGAGCUGACGACAGCCAUGCACCACCUGUACACCGACUCAAAGAGGGCACCCAUCUCUGGAUGUUUCCGGCAUAUGUCAAGCCUUGGUAAGGUGGGGAUGACGUAUGGAAUGUCGAUA